AAGAAUAGGUCACACAGUUUUAAGCCAGCCUUGCAGCAGAGAUGGAAACAUCAGACAAACUGCUUAUCUGACAUAUCCAUAAUAAUUUACCAUACCAUGCGUUUCCCUACUCUGUUGUUCAUUUGCACUGUCAAGCACGAUAAGUGAACAAAGAUAGACACACUGUUAGCAUUUAAAUAUUACAAUGCUUCCCUGUCUUAUCAUCUAUUUUCUUUCCAUCCAUCUCUUUUCCUUUUUUUCUCCAUUUAGCCUCUUUUUACAGCUUCCCUCCUCCAUCUUAAGAAGCUUUUAAGAAAAUGAGGGUUAUUUUUUAUUAUAAGCAAGUGACACUGUGAUGAAUUCUUCCAUAUGAUGUAUGUAGUGCAGAUUGCCUUACUUAAAUGAUUAAUUAAAAUUGAUCAUAAAAUAAUGCUAACUUACUGAGCCCUCUCCAUUACUUUUGAAUCCUUUGUUUUUAGAGAAAAUCAUGAGAUGUGCUGCAGCAAUAGUGUUAGUCUGUGAGCAAGGAAUUCUUUGAGCUGUGGAAGGCUAGAAGCUUCUCUAGCAUUUGAUGCUUUCAAAGGAGGCAGCAGAAUGUCCUUUGGGGACACCCUGCCAGAGUUUAUAGAUUUGUUUUCUUUUCUAUUGGGAAAUGUGGCAAUUGCAUCCUAGGGACUUGGGUAGACAUAAAAAUGUAGCAUUCUAAUUAUGUCUAUAUGGAUGAAAGAUUUAUUUUUAGCUCUUUGAACAUUUAAAUGUGUACUUCUAGUGUUAUCUAACAAAUUAUAAGACACUUUAUAAAAUGGUAUUGUCUUAUAAUAGAUCCUAAGAGACAAGAGAAAAAUUGCUGAGGGCAGGAUUUCAGGCACUGCAGCCCUUAUCUUUACCUGUCAUCAAAACCCUCUGUUCUAACCAAUUGACUGGAAUCCAGCCUAUAAUGUUAUUCGGGAAUAAAGACCACACAGUGAUUGCUGUAAAAAAAAAAAAAAAGAUAUACCCUGGAAAUCUGACACAGAGACAGAGUAAUCAAAAGCUCCUCUGUUUUGGCUACAUCAACAUCAUAAUCAUAAUCAGACAUUAAUUGAUAUUUGGACAAGGUGGUAAUCACUGGUGCUGUGAAGAGUAAUGAAGAGGUAUUAGACACAUCAGAAUAAUAAUGUGAAAAGAAGGCUGAAAUGUUAUUCUCCAACAAAGAAGAAACAAAUAUUCAAAAUUGUAAGAAGAAAAAUGCUGCAAAGUUACAAGAUUCUAUGCAGUGUUACUUGGUUUGCAGAUGAAGUCAGGACUUACUUGAAUCAGAAUUACUAAACCCCUAAAUAGACCUAUUCCUGCUUGCCAUGCCCAAAUCCCCUCUUGGUUCAAAUUUUACAAAAAAGAAGGCAUACUACACAUUUUUAAGUACACGAGAUCAUGAGAAAGUAUUUAAUUUUCACAUACUUGUGAUUUGGAGAAAGAACUUAACUUUUUUAUGAAGCGUGAGAGGAAAUUGAGGAUGAGCAUUUGGAUUA
rnacentral:lncRNA from 1 species